AAGCUGCCCCUCCUCCUCCACAAGCUGCCCCUCCCCCUCCGCGAGUGUCUGGUCUCACGCACUACAGUUCCCAGCAUGCCGUUCGAACAACCUUGGAGGCGGAACCAGUGUCGCCAUAGCAACUGUUCCGGAUUGUUUCCAAUGCAUCGCUGGGAUUUAGCAAGAAACUUGUAGCAAUAAGGACAAGAUUGUAAGCCUGGAGAUACCAGAGGCUACCACAUGAAUCUUAAGAAUGAAGCUGACACAGCAGAAGGCUGAGCCAAGAAACUACGAGAAACUGAAUUUUGAUUACAUUUUUUGAGCUCCUGGAUCAAACCACUCAUGACACUAAACAACCCCAAGGCUUUUCCGCUACAUGAAUAAAUACAUUUUCUUUCCUAUUUAAAUGAGUUGGAGUUUGGGUUCUCCAUCACUCACAACAGCAGGGUACUAACUAAGGCAAAACCUUUUACCUCUACUGUUUAUUAUAACAACAAAACAAAGUUUAAAAUGAGAUGCCAACUUAAUUGCCAAACCAGAAAAGUUCAAAUCAACAACGUUAUAGACAUUGUUGUUUUACUGAAAUGAAAUUUCUUUCCCAACGUGACUGUGGCAUUGGCUAAUACGUUGUGGGUUGUUUUGAGUUCUGGGCACCUCUGUGUCCUACACAUAAGGUGUGUGCUAUGUCAUGAAUCGUUUCUUCAUUGCUUUUCUCUAUUCGAACUAUUGCAAAACCUUCAUUCACAGAGCUUGUUGUGAUUCAGUCUUCCCUUGGUACAGAUGUUUAAUUUACUUAAUAAGUCAGACUCUUUUCUCAGUUGCUAAAACAAAGAAGAACAUCAUUGUGCUUGACUUUCAAAUCAUAUAGAUAUCAAAUUAAAGCCUUAUUUUAUUAAAUUACUUAAGCCAAAGUCUUUGAUCUAUGAAAAUAUUUUUCAACCAUGAAUGGAAAAUAAAGCUUUGUAUUUUCAACAGGAGA